rnacentral:rRNA from 1 species
GGUUAAGCGACUAAGCGUACACGGUGGAUGCCCUGGCAGUCAGAGGCGAUGAAGGACGUGCUAAUCUGCGAUAAGCGUCGGUAAGGUGAUAUGAACCGUUAUAACCGGCGAUUUCCGAAUGGGGAAACCCAGUGUGAUUCGUCACACUAUCAUUAACUGAAUCCAUAGGUUAAUGAGGCGAACCGGGGGAACUGAAACAUCUAAGUACCCCGAGGAAAAGAAAUCAACCGAGAUUCCCCCAGUAGCGGCGAGCGAACGGGGAGCAGCCCAGAGCCUGAAUCAGUGUGUGUGUUAGUGGAAGCGUCUGGAAAGGCGCGCGAUACAGGGUGACAGCCCCGUACACAAAAAUGCACAUGCUGUGAGCUCGAUGAGUAGGGCGGGACACGUGGUAUCCUGUCUGAAUAUGGGGGGACCAUCCUCCAAGGCUAAAUACUCCUGACUGACCGAUAGUGAACCAGUACCGUGAGGGAAAGGCGAAAAGAACCCCGGCGAGGGGAGUGAAAAAGAACCUGAAACCGUGUACGUACAAGCAGUGGGAGCACAGAGCAAUCUGUGUGACUGCGUACCUUUUGUAUAAUGGGUCAGCGACUUAUAUUCUGUAGCAAGGUUAACCGAAUAGGGGAGCCGAAGGGAAACCGAGUCUUAACUGGGCGUUAAGUUGCAGGGUAUAGACCCGAAACCCGGUGAUCUAGCCAUGGGCAGGUUGAAGGUUGGGUAACACUAACUGGAGGACCGAACCGACUAAUGUUGAAAAAUUAGCGGAUGACUUGUGGCUGGGGGUGAAAGGCCAAUCAAACCGGGAGAUAGCUGGUUCUCCCCGAAAGCUAUUUAGGUAGCGCCUCGUGAAUUCAUCUCCGGGGGUAGAGCACUGUUUCGGCAAGGGGGUCAUCCCGACUUACCAACCCGAUGCAAACUGCGAAUACCGGAGAAUGUUAUCACGGGAGACACACGGCGGGUGCUAACGUCCGUCGUGAAGAGGGAAACAACCCAGACCGCCAGCUAAGGUCCCAAAGUCAUGGUUAAGUGGGAAACGAUGUGGGAAGGCCCAGACAGCCAGGAUGUUGGCUUAGAAGCAGCCAUCAUUUAAAGAAAGCGUAAUAGCUCACUGGUCGAGUCGGCCUGCGCGGAAGAUGUAACGGGGCUAAACCAUGCACCGAAGCUGCGGCAGCGACGCUUAUGCGUUGUUGGGUAGGGGAGCGUUCUGUAAGCCUGCGAAGGUGUACUGUGAGGUAUGCUGGAGGUAUCAGAAGUGCGAAUGCUGACAUAAGUAACGAUAAAGCGGGUGAAAAGCCCGCUCGCCGGAAGACCAAGGGUUCCUGUCCAACGUUAAUCGGGGCAGGGUGAGUCGACCCCUAAGGCGAGGCCGAAAGGCGUAGUCGAUGGGAAACAGGUUAAUAUUCCUGUACUUGGUGUUACUGCGAAGGGGGGACGGAGAAGGCUAUGUUGGCCGGGCGACGGUUGUCCCGGUUUAAGCGUGUAGGCUGGUUUUCCAGGCAAAUCCGGAAAAUCAAGGCUGAGGCGUGAUGACGAGGCACUACGGUGCUGAAGCAACAAAUGCCCUGCUUCCAGGAAAAGCCUCUAAGCAUCAGGUAACAUCAAAUCGUACCCCAAACCGACACAGGUGGUCAGGUAGAGAAUACCAAGGCGCUUGAGAGAACUCGGGUGAAGGAACUAGGCAAAAUGGUGCCGUAACUUCGGGAGAAGGCACGCUGAUAUGUAGGUGAAGUCCCUCGCGGAUGGAGCUGAAAUCAGUCGAAGAUACCAGCUGGCUGCAACUGUUUAUUAAAAACACAGCACUGUGCAAACACGAAAGUGGACGUAUACGGUGUGACGCCUGCCCGGUGCCGGAAGGUUAAUUGAUGGGGUCAGCGCAAGCGAAGCUCUUGAUCGAAGCCCCGGUAAACGGCGGCCGUAACUAUAACGGUCCUAAGGUAGCGAAAUUCCUUGUCGGGUAAGUUCCGACCUGCACGAAUGGCGUAAUGAUGGCCAGGCUGUCUCCACCCGAGACUCAGUGAAAUUGAACUCGCUGUGAAGAUGCAGUGUACCCGCGGCAAGACGGAAAGACCCCGUGAACCUUUACUAUAGCUUGACACUGAACAUUGAGCCUUGAUGUGUAGGAUAGGUGGGAGGCUUUGAAGUGUGGACGCCAGUCUGCAUGGAGCCGACCUUGAAAUACCACCCUUUAAUGUUUGAUGUUCUAACGUUGACCCGUAAUCCGGGUUGCGGACAGUGUCUGGUGGGUAGUUUGACUGGGGCGGUCUCCUCCUAAAGAGUAACGGAGGAGCACGAAGGUUGGCUAAUCCUGGUCGGACAUCAGGAGGUUAGUGCAAUGGCAUAAGCCAGCUUGACUGCGAGCGUGACGGCGCGAGCAGGUGCGAAAGCAGGUCAUAGUGAUCCGGUGGUUCUGAAUGGAAGGGCCAUCGCUCAACGGAUAAAAGGUACUCCGGGGAUAACAGGCUGAUACCGCCCAAGAGUUCAUAUCGACGGCGGUGUUUGGCACCUCGAUGUCGGCUCAUCACAUCCUGGGGCUGAAGUAGGUCCCAAGGGUAUGGCUGUUCGCCAUUUAAAGUGGUACGCGAGCUGGGUUUAGAACGUCGUGAGACAGUUCGGUCCCUAUCUGCCGUGGGCGCUGGAGAACUGAGGGGGGCUGCUCCUAGUACGAGAGGACCGGAGUGGACGCAUCACUGGUGUUCGGGUUGUCAUGCCAAUGGCACUGCCCGGUAGCUAAAUGCGGAAGAGAUAAGUGCUGAAAGCAUCUAAGCACGAAACUUGCCCCGAGAUGAGUUCUCCCUGACUCCUUGAGAGUCCUGAAGGAACGUUGAAGACGACGACGUUGAUAGGCCGGGUGUGUAAGCGCAGCGAUGCGUUGAGCUAACCGGUACUAAUGAACCGUGAGGCUUAACCUU